UGGGGAAUUUUGGACAAUGGGGGAAACCCUGAUCCAGCCAUCCCGCGUGUGCGAUGAAGGCCUUCGGGUUGUAAAGCACUUUUGGCAGGAAAGAAACGUCGCGGGUUAAUACCCCGCGAAACUGACGGUACCUGCAGAAUAAGCACCGGCUAACUACGUGCCAGCAGCCGCGGUAAUACGUAGGGUGCAAGCGUUAAUCGGAAUUACUGGGCGUAAAGCGUGCGCAGGCGGUUCGGAAAGAAAGAUGUGAAAUCCCAGAGCUUAACUUUGGAACUGCAUUUUUAACUACCGGGCUAGAGUGUGUCAGAGGGAGGUGGAAUUCCGCGUGUAGCAGUGAAAUGCGUAGAUAUGCGGAGGAACACCGAUGGCGAAGGCAGCCUCCUGGGAUAACACUGACGCUCAUGCACGAAAGCGUGGGGAGCAAACAGGAUUAGAUACCCUGGUAGUCCACGCCCUAAACGAUGUCAACUAGCUGUUGGGGGCCUUCGGGCCUUGGUAGCGCAGCUAACGCGUGAAGUUGACCGCCUGGGGGAGUACGGUCGCAAGAUU
rnacentral:rRNA from 1 species